CAACGCCGCGUGAGUGAUGAAGGCUUUCGGGUCGUAAAACUCUGUUGUUAGGGAAGAACAAGUACGAGAGUAACUGCUCGUACCUUGACGGUACCUAACCAGAAAGCCACGGCUAACUACGUGCCAGCAGCCGCGGUAAUACGUAGGUGGCAAGCGUUAUCCGGAAUUAUUGGGCGUAAAGCGCGCGCAGGCGGUUUCUUAAGUCUGAUGUGAAAGCCCACGGCUCAACCGUGGAGGGUCAUUGGAAACUGGGGAACUUGAGUGCAGAAGAGAAAAGCGGAAUUCCACGUGUAGCGGUGAAAUGCGUAGAGAUGUGGAGGAACACCAGUGGCGAAGGCGGCUUUUUGGUCUGUAACUGACGCUGAGGCGCGAAAGCGUGGGGAGCAAACAGGAUUAGAUACCCUGGUAGUCCACGCCGUAAACGAUGAGUGCUAAGUGUUAGAGGGUUUCCGCCCUUUAGUGCUGCAGCUAACGCAUUAAGCACUCCGCCUGGGGAGUACGGUCGCAAGACUG
rnacentral:rRNA from 1 species